rnacentral:rRNA from 1 species
UAGGGAAUCUUCGGCAAUGGGGGCAACCCUGACCGAGCAACGCCGCGUGAGUGAAGAAGGUUUUCGGAUCGUAAAGCUCUGUUGUAGAGAAGAACGUGUGUGAGAGUGGAAAGUUCACACAGUGACGGUAACUUACCAGAAAGGGACGGCUAACUACGUGCCAGCAGCCGCGGUAAUACGUAGGUCCCGAGCGUUGUCCGGAUUUAUUGGGCGUAAAGCGAGCGCAGGCGGUUUAAUAAGUCUGAAGUUAAAGGCAGUGGCUUAACCAUUGUUCGCUUUGGAAACUGUUAAACUUGAGUGCAGAAGGGGAGAGUGGAAUUCCAUGUGUAGCGGUGAAAUGCGUAGAUAUAUGGAGGAACACCGGUGGCGAAAGCGGCUCUCUGGUCUGUAACUGACGCUGAGGCUCGAAAGCGUGGGGAGCAAACAGG